UUGCCAGUAGAGGGCGCAGGUGGACAGGGUCCUCCUCCUGGUCCAGGUGUGCUGGCGCCACCGAGAGGACCUCCCAGGUCUGGCUCCUUCGGCACACGUGGCCUCCCCAGGCCCCAGCUUCUGCUGAGCUCAAAGCUCCUCUGCUGCUCUGUGCAAGGGACCCUGCAGUCAGCAGCACCAGGGGAAGCAGUGAACCCGCAUCUCCCCCAACAUCCUUGAACAGUUUUGUAGCUCAGUCCUUCCCCGGGAACACCUUUCCCUGGCACCCUCUAGGGCAGACUUCCAAGGAAUAUGACCAGCACCAACCACCAGGGCAACUUCUCUCCCACCAGGCUUGCUGGGGCCUUGCCCUCUCAACAAGAUGUGGGUUUCAGCCCCAUCGAUGGAGCAGAAACGGAUAACUGCAAAGGUCCCUUUCAGCAAGGAUAUUGAGUUUACAUUUCUCUAAUAAGGAUAUUGACUAGAGAUCCCUGUGCUGUGCAGGAGGAGCUUGUUGCUCAUGCGCUGUGUAUACAAUAGUUUGCAUCUGCUCAGCCCAACCUCCCGACCCAUCUGUGCCCCGUGGCAACCGAAGUCUGUUCUCUGUCUAAUGACGAAAAUAUCACUUCUCAGCCUUUUAGCUAAGAUCAAGUGCAAAAGAGAGACAAAAAUAAAUACGAAUUUAUGGCUUUGGAAGAGGUACUUCUCUGCAUUUGGUCAAGAUGGAGUAAUGGGGACUGAAUUUACCCAUCUGCCUGAAACAACAGAAAACUGGGUGACCUGCAGGAAUCAGUGGUUCCCAAUACACUGAACAUCAGUCCGCAGAAGAAGCGAUCCCGGAGAAACAGAAAACAAGAGCGGUGAGUGCUGCGAUUAACUUGGACCCAGUCAACGUCAGCGCAGCCUUGUCAAUGGAGGUGAGGAGCCAUGAAAUCAGAGAAGAAAGAGAUCACGGUGGGCUGGUGUAGGCUGUUGAGAAAGGCUUGGUGAGAACUCACUGCCGGUCAUGGUAUUUUAGGCUAAGAGGAGACAGCUGAGACUAUGCCAGCUAAAAAGGUAUUUUUUCUUUAGGUUCACAUGGGGGAACCAUUAACCUAGUACAGUGCUCUUAUUUUGUGAUAGAAAAAGCCCAGGGAGGUUCGGCA